UGCAAUGACAUCUACGCUCAUUUCGACCAGGUGCUACAGUUUCAUGAAUAGCGCGUUUUUUAAGUUUCAAAAGAUUGCGGGAUGAAAAGGACCAUGAGAAAAUUGUUAUUAAUGAAUCUGAUCAGUUUAAUGGAGUCCUGACAGUUACAGUGGACUAUGACCAAUAGACAUGUUCAUACUCACCUGACAGCUGAAUAACAGCCAACUGUCCUAAUAUUUAUUUUAACUAACGUUUCUUAAUCUGGAACAUUAAGGAUGAUAAUACGAGAUACUUGAAGAUCAGAAAGAUUGAAAUACUUAUUUCCUCAUUAGUCGUUAGCCUUCCGUUCUCACGUGAUCCCUAGUGCCUAAAGAUCCAUGGAUCAUCGUUUAUUUCGUUCAUCGUUCCUUACGGUGAACAAGAUUCGAAGAUCCAUGGAUCAUCGUUUGUUUUGUUAAUCGUUCCUUCUGGUGAACAAGAUUAGAAGAUCCAUGGAUCAUCGUUUAUUUCGUUCAUCAGUCCUUCCGCUCAACGAGAUUCAAAGAUCCGAACGGGAUUAAUCAUUAUUCACCAGAAGGAUUCAUUUAGAAAGAACGAAUCCUUCGCGAACCACCGGUCACUAAUCGUGCCGGCAGGUUAAGUGCAUGUGUGGGAAUCUGACAGUCUGUCAUUGGUGGCUGACUUUCGAGAAGUUCGCAUAAUUAGGGGAGGACACCAUUUCAUUUAUGGAUGUUGUUGCUUCAUUUAUCAGGCUCCGGGAAAAGAAGUCGACACGAGAUCCACCGCAGCUAUGGAGAUGUUCUCUCCCAAACACAGAGCUUCUGAGCAUGGGUUCCCUUCACGCUGUUCCAGUGAGUUAACCGAAGGGCCACAACAGUUGUGUAUAGUGGUUUAAAGUAGUUGUUGAGGAAAUUGACCCACUAUGCUGUUAACUUCCUGCAUCAUUUCACUGAGUCUACCUUUAAAAUAUCAAAGGAACGCUGAAGACAUGCAUUUCAUAGAACAACCUUGGAGGUCCAGUGCAUAAGCAGUUUCCCUCCACUACACAUCCCUGUGUUUUUCUUCAUCUCAUACCUUUAAUUGGAGCAGUUUUGGUGUGAGUACCUCCUUCAAUAAACAAUGCAAUUACUUC